rfam:Hydnomerulius pinastri MD-312 unplaced genomic scaffold scaffold_5, whole genome shotgun sequence.
GCCCGCUUAGCUCAGUGGUAGAGCGCGUCACUUGUAUCGGAUUGUGAGAUCUGAGGAAUGAUGAGGUCGGUUGUUCAAUCCAGCCAGUGGGCA